CUCAAGCCCAGAUCUAACAGUUCCCCUACAAUGGUUCAGAAGAAUAAGAACUAUAACUGGUCUAAAGAUUGUACCAGAACUGUGUAAUUGUUACUCCAGGCAACAUCAGGUUACUAGGAUGAAAAUACAAAAUUUGAAGAAAAAAGCUCUCCUUUUUUAUGUUACAGCGGAGGAAACCAACUAAUGGAAAUGCAAAGGAAUUCAGGCAUGUGAUCUCCAUGGACAACCUGUCAGCUACUGACCUUGACGUUUUUUCUCAUCUGCAACAACGCUACAGAGUUGAAGACAAAAAUUAUAUUCCUCGCCCCCCCCAAAAAAACAUUUAUCUCAGCUCCUCCUUCAGUGUCACAUACUCCAUUUCCCCAACUAUUUGGUAACCUUUCACUGGACUUUCCAGUUUGACAGCACCUUUCUUUUACUAGGCAAGCCAAAACAAAAUGUAGCACAUCAAAUCUGACUCACAGAUACUCACUAGGAUGGAAUAAGCAGCCUUAUGGCUGCAUUCUUCUCAUGAUAUCCUCAAAAUAUCGUCCCAAAAAACAAGACAACAUACAUAUAAUUUUUUUUCCCCACAAUUUCUCUUCCCAUGGGAAAUCAAAUGAUAAGAUCCCACAUAAUCAAUUCGAUGGGGAGGAAAAGUUGGCAACAGAAAUAGUAAAUCCUCUCCACUGAAAGUAAAUGGCUCCUGUAUUCACAGUAAAAAAAGCAUGCGAGGAUUUCUACCUGCUUCUCCACUGCAGAAUCUGAAUGCCAAUGAAUUUAUAGUGAAGAGUUUAUGAAACAUAAAUCAUCCUUGUCCCACGUAUUCAUGAAGUUGUUGGACUUUGCAUCACAAAUGGAUGUCAUGCCUCAACAGCAAGAAAUAUGUGACAUGCCAGAAGUGGCUGCUGGUCUUCUAUAAGAUGUCAGAGCAACAAGCUUUUUCUUCAAGGACAACAACAUAUCUGCCAUGGGAGUCUACUUGACACCGGAUACAAGAACUGCAGUUUCACUUGCCAGAUCACCUCUGAAUUCCCCUAGAGAGAAGUAAGAGU